GGAUUAGAUACCCGGGUAGUCCACGCCCUAAACUAUGUCAACUAGUUGUCGGGGAAGCAAUUCCUUGGUAACGAAGCUAACGCGUGAAGUUGACCGCCUGGGGAGUACGGCCGCAAGGUUAAAACUCAAAGGAAUUGACGGGGACCCGCACAAGCGGUGGAUUAUGUGGAUUAAUUCGAUGCAACGCGAAAAACCUUACCUACCCUUGACAUGCCAGGAACCCUUCAGAGAUGAAGGGGUGCCCGAAAGGGAACCUGGACACAGGUGCUGCAUGGCUGUCGUCAGCUCGUGUCGUGAGAUGUUGGGUUAAGUCCCGCAACGAGCGCAACCCUUGCCAUUAGUUGCCACAUUAAGUUGGGCACUCUAAUGGGACUGCCGGUGACAAACCGGAGGA
rnacentral:rRNA from 1 species